CGGUGGGUAGGGCCGGAAGGGUAGCCGUCUUCCAGAAAUGCUGAAACCGGCUUCACGCAGCGGCCAGUAACCUUCGGGUAAAGCCAUCUUCCUCGUCACCCGCGCCGGGCAGGGAAGACGAACUCACGCCGAGGUGGGCGGUCACGAGGGGCAGCCCUCUCGAAGGAGAGGGCCUGACUCUUCAUUGCCGAAACGGGCGAGGUCCGGGAGGGAGCAGCCCUAUGGCGACGUGACCACGCUGCCUCGUCUACGUGGGGGAUUCCCCGUCCGACGAGAUGGGAGCGGAGAGUGAUGGUGAACUCCGGAGGAGCCGCCG
rnacentral:SRP_RNA from 1 species